UACGUAGGGUGCGAGCGUUAAUCGGAAUUACUGGGCGUAAAGCGUGCGCAGGCGGCUUUGCAAGACAGAUGUGAAAUCCCCGGGCUCAACCUGGGAACUGCAUUUGUGACUGCAAGGCUAGAGUACGGCAGAGGGGGAUGGAAUUCCGCGUGUAGCAGUGAAAUGCGUAGAUAUGCGGAGGAACACCAAUGGCGAAGGCAAUCCCCUGGACAUGUACUGACGCUCAUGCACGAAAGCGUGGGGAGCAAACAGG
rnacentral:rRNA from 1 species